rnacentral:rRNA from 1 species
GAUGAACGCUAGCGAUAGGCUUAACACAUGCAAGUCGAGGGGCAGCACAAGGUAGCUUGCUAUCUGGGUGGCGACCGGCGCACGGGUGCGUAACGCGUAUGCAACUUGCCCUAUACAGGAGGAUAACCCGUCGAAAGACGGACUAAUACUGCGUAUGCUCACAACUUGGCAUCAAGUGGUGAGGAAAGAAAUUCGGUAUAGGAUAGGCAUGCGUCCCAUUAGCUUGUUGGUGAGGUAACGGCUCACCAAGGCAACGAUGGGUAGGGGAACUGAGAGGUUUAUCCCCCACACUGGUACUGAGACACGGACCAGACUCCUACGGGAGGCAGCAGUGAGGAAUAUUGGGCAAUGGGCGCGAGCCUGAACCAGCCAAGUCGCGUGAAGGAUGACUGUCUUAUGGAUUGUAAACUUCUUUUAUACGGGAAUAACAAGAGUCACGGGUGACUCCCUGCAUGUACCGUAUGAAUAAGCAUCGGCUAACUCCGUG